CAAGAAGCCGAAAGGCUACUUAAAACCAUCGCGAACUUAUCCAAGUUGCUUCGGCGGCGCGGCUCCCCUCACGGGGGACCGCAGCCCCCCGCCUCUCAGGAAGGUAAGGGGCAGCCGCCGGAGGUACGAAACUCUGUAUUAUAGUGGUAUCUCUGAGUAUAAAACAAAUAAGUUA
rnacentral:misc_RNA from 1 species